UAGUAUAGUGGUAAGUAUCUCCGCCUGUCACAUGGAAGGCCCGGGUUCGAUUCCCGG
rnacentral:tRNA from 1 species